GUUGUUGUUUUUAAACAUGUGCCUGUCUCUGUCUGUGUAUGCCAGUAAGUCUGUGAUGAGGGCUGGCAUGAGUGGGAACAAUAAUGUGAUGUAGUAGAAUCACAGCCAGCCAUUGUUGUUUUGUCUGCACUGAUGGUCAAUAGAGUCCUCAGCCCUGCAGCUUGGACUCUUUGACCCGGUGCAUUUUUAAAAGCCUCGUCAUGCCCGAUGCCCGAGCGUGACUUGGACAAAGCUGAAUGAGGUAAUAUGCAUCCCCCCUCCCUGACCCACCCUGCCCCCAUCCAAAGAAAGACCACAUUCAUGCACGAGAUUAUUUGUGACGACGGCGCCAAACGCUGCCCCCAGAUGUCAACAACUCCAAGCUGGCUGACGGCUAGCAUACAGCCCUGACUAGCACGCUCUGUGUAUACCAUUCAUGCUAUCGACAGAGUCGUGUAUAUAUAUAUACUGUAUCUCAUUUAAAGGUGAGAAGCGCUGCUGUGAUUCCCUGAUGAUGCCGUGAGCGGCCAUGUUGAUCCGACGUCACCUGCUGAACUCGGAGGAACGUCCUGAGUUCCCGGUUAGGAACUCCGAGCGUUCAGCGGUCUGUUCUUCCUGGUUGGAAGUCGGGAAUUGGGAGUUGUGACCUCAAGCCAAAUGCAGCGUGUGCGUAGACACGCGGCUUCUCUGGGAGUCGAUGCGUAUUUCUCGAGAAAUACUCUUCUACAGGGUGACACGUGCUUGACGGCUAGCUUUUAACACAAACCAGCACAGAGUCUACCAGCACGGAUCUUGGUUCUCGGUACUGAUCCCAAAACGUUCGAUGUUGUUUAUGUCCCCACAAGUACUAGAGCGAAUACGAAGGAACCGUGCUUAGUUAGAUUAGUGCACUUUGAGUGAGUGUGUGUGUGUGUAGCUCUUUGCUGUGUGCGUUCAAGCAGCGUUACAUUAAAGCCUCAUAUUGAUCCUGCCAAUGACAUCACUGUCUCCUGCGUGCGUUUCCCAUGCAGGACCUUUUGGGGACGGUGGAGGGAAGCGUGCGAGCGUGGGUGCUCGCCGGUGGAAGACCAUUUACGGAUUUUCUUUCAGUCUAGAUCUCUUCUGUAGGAUCGGGUUACAUCCGGUCUGCUUUUUGAAAGACACAAAUCGAACCGUCCACAUUAGCAAGAAGGACCGAAACGGAGCCUUCUGAUGGGGGAAUGACAUCAGCGUUGUAUCCGGUGCUUUCUAUCAGACUUUCUUUAUGACACUGAAUAUAUAUCGCCUCCAUCAAACGGUACAAAAAGUGCCAUCAAACAGUAAAACACGUACUUUCACCUUUUCAAGGUGCGUCGGGUACGAUUUGUCAAAAGUUGUCAAAGAUUAUGUCUCUAAGGGGUAAAUCGAUGGAGGUGAAUGAGAUUUGAACGACUUCUUUCCACUUUGAGCCUACUCCCAACCUCACCCAUGUCCAUCGAGCCCCGCCCCCAGAACCACAUGACCCGCACUGGUUAAACAAUCCCCGAAAUGGGGGGUGGAGUGGAGUCAUCGGGGGAGUGUCUAUCUAGAAAAUGACACAACCCAAACACAAACAAGCUCUCCGGACCUGCAGGCGGUCUUCCAAACAAGUCGACCCCAACCCCCAGCCACUUGCGCUAUUAUAAUUUCUACAUAUUUUUAAUUUUAUGUUCGUGAUACUAGUCAGAAAUAAACAUUCUGACCUGUUGCACCUUUAAUCCUUGCUGCGUCCAUGUUUAUUAGACGGCUACAACCCUUAAUGUUUCUGAAAGACCAUUACGGCUCAGGGUUUCCUCUCAGCGCGGGGUAGUGGUUAGCACUGUUGCCUUGCACCUCUGGGGUUCGGGGUUCAAACCCUGCCUCGGUGGUUAAGACGUUGGGCUACUGAUAGGAACGCCAUGAGUUCAAACGCCGGCAUCGCCAAGCUGCCACUAUAAACAUACGUACGUCGAUUCGGUAUAAUUACACGGAGCAGAGCAUAAUCAGGUCUGCGACUUCGACUGAUGUCGGAAUCAAAGCUUCAAACUUCAAAGAGCAGUUAAGAAGGGGGCAAUUAUUACAGAGCACUUAGCAAAGCUCUGCGUUUCCCCAACACACACCCCCGCACACGUAUAGCACAAUGCUGCUGUGCUCAUGAAUGAAAACAACUGUGAAUUGUAGAUACAGACUGAUAACGUGAACACAGUCGGUAUGUGAUCGCAUGUGCUGUAUGGCAUUCUUUUACAGAUCCCCCAACCCCCUUUCCAAUUAAAUUCCCAAAAAACCCCGGAUCUGGUAAAAGGAUUAGGUCAAAAUAACUGAGUGGAGACUGUGGUGUUUACUAGACGAGUUCACUAAAGCAUGUGUUUAUGUGUGUACAGGAAACGGAAAGAACGUUCCAGUCAGGUGAGGGUACGCAACCAUAUUGUGCGGGUGUUGCUCCAGAUAAGAAUGGUGCACAAGUGUGUGUGUGUGUGUGUGUGUGUGUGUGUGCCAAAUUUACAGCUCAACACCAUACUCUGUCAUCCUUCCACCGGCUCGUGAUGUUUCCCGAACGUGACAGACCAGACGUCUUCCACAGGAAAAUCCACCAUCAGCCUGCUCAGCGUCUGGAACUGCAGGAUCCAGACGAAAGACAGACGGUGAACCAGUCUCCGGUCAUCUGGCGCUCGGACCGAACGGCCAGUUAACUGUCUGACGGCUGAGAACGUAGAAUAAACUGCAGGUUGGGUGUAAUUUCAGCUGAGCACACCUCUAGCCCUCUGCCAGGUAGAAAACUCCAUUUGGAAAUAGUUGUCUUUACUGGCAAGGACGUUAGAGAUUUCACAGUUAGCUCACUGAAUAGCUGCCACUCGUCAUGCUUGAGCUGGUACUGUGCCUGUCUCAGCAGGGAUUUCCACGUCAAGCUUCAGCUGUUACUCCGAAUCGACAGCGUCACAUUCCUCGCCGACGCUAACGUUAACGCAGCGGCGUUCUUUCAUCGGGAACAGGCAGGGCGCUGUGACAAAUGUGAGAGGUUUCCUCAAAUGUGUGGGUUUCCGAAGAAUCCCAGAAACAUGACUGUCAUCUCGUCCCACCCUAUCCUAGGAUACCCAUGCACACACACACACACACACACACACACAGCCCAUUUUUAAAGCAUUUCUGAUAGGACAUAUUAACAUCUAGCGUUUCUAUGAUGACGCUCAUCUCCAGUAGGAGACGUUUCAGGACACAUAUUAUCAUAUUUAUCGUUAAAAAGUAGGAUCGAUGAGGAUUUGUUGUUGUUGUUGUUGUUGUUGCAUGUAUUAGGUGUGUAAGCAAACACAAAUAUAUUGAAUAAUGUAGCCUAAUACAGAUAAAUGAAGAAUUCAGGGUUGUUUUUUUUUAUUAUUAUUAUUUAAGAAAGCUUGCCAGAAACCUUCAGACUAGGUGUAUAAGACAAAACAAACAACCAAAGAAACAAAAGUUAAUAAAUAAAUAAAUAAAAAACACUCAAGCACGAGGUCACAUUACGUUGAAGCUUUCCAGAAAGUUCCACCAGACAUCUGUUUCAGGAUGUGAAUAAAGUUCUGCAAAUUGC